rnacentral:rRNA from 1 species
UACGAAGGGUGCAAACGUUGCUCGGAAUUAUUGGGCGUAAAGCGCACGUAGGCGGCUUUGCAAGUCCCAUGUGAAAGCCCACGGCUUAACCGUGGAAGUGCAUGGGAAACUGCAGAGCUUGAGUACUUAAGAGGAUCGCGGAAUUCCCGGUGUAGAGGUGAAAUUCGUAGAUAUCGGGAGGAACACCAGUGGCGAAGGCGGCUACCUGGACCAGCACUGACACUGAGGCACGAAAGCGUGGGGAGCAAACAGG